rnacentral:rRNA from 1 species
GACGAACGCUGGCGGCGUGCUUAACACAUGCAAGUCGAACGAAGUGGCGAACGGGUGAGUAACGCGUAAUCAACCUGCCCUUCAGAGGGGGACAACAGUUAGAAACGACUGCUAAUACCUCAUCCUUAAGGAGGGGGUUGCGUUUGAUUAUCGAGUUGGAGGGGAAACGGCCCACCAAGGCGAUGAUCAGUAGCCGGGCUGAGAGGAGGAACGGGCACAGUGGGACUGGGACACGGCCCAGACUCCGACGGGAGGCAGCAGGGGGGAAUCUUCCGCAAUUGACGAAAGUCUGACGGAGCAACGCCGCGGGAGUGAUGACGGCCUUCGGGUUGUAAAGCUCUGUUAAGCGGGACGCGGUACCGGAAUAGAAAGCCACGGCUAACUACGUGCCAGCAGCCGCGGUAAUUC